AGUUCGGUCCCUAUCCGUCGCAGGCGUAGGAAAUUUGAGAAGACCGGUCCUUAGUACGAGAGGACCGGGAUGGACGUACCUCUGGUGUACCAGUUGUCCUGCCAAGGGCAUGGCUGGGUAGCUAUGUACGGAAUGGAUAAGCGCUGAAAGCAUCUAAGCGCGAAGCCAACUUCAAGAUAAGAUUGCCCACCGCAAGGGUAAGACCCCAGAAAGACUAACUGGUUGAUAGGUCGAAGGUGUAAGUGCAGCAAUGUAUUUAGCUUAUCGAUACUAAUAGGUCGAGGACUUGACCAAU
rnacentral:rRNA from 1 species